ensembl:lncRNA
AGGGAGGAAUGCACUGUUGCUUGGUAUAUCCAGUUUGGUUAAAGGAGGAAUGCAUUAAAAAUGCACCGCCACCGGUUUGUGUCAUGUGACUCAAAACAGAACUAAUAAAAAUGUGAAAUUUGAGGAAAGCAGUUAUUUCCAUUUAUCGAGGGACUUACAACUUCACCUGUGUGUGAACAAAAUGGAUUGGGUGGUCUAUUUGACAGCUACCAAGAUGAGUAGAAAAACACUGACAAUUGCAUUGUUAAGUUUAGUGUUUUGUAGCGCAUCAGCUGAGUCAGCAAACUCACCUACAACUGAAUCUAUGACUGUCACAUCAUACUCACCUGCACAAACGACACAAUUCUGCUUACAACUGACACAACAGCAUAUACAAUACUGUUCAACAACAACUGAAACUCUGUUUACAACCACUGCCAAACCAACACAAACACCUGAAUCAACAAACUCACCUAUAACUGCAACAACUGAAUCUACGACUGUUAGAACAAACACAGCUACAACUAAAACUCGGCUUACAACUACAAGCCUUCCUACAGAAAAAACAACACAACUCACAACUGAGCAAUCAACUACAUCUGAACAAAGCACCACAAUGCAGUCAGCAAAUUCAUCCCUACCUACAACAAGUACAGCUCAAUCUACAACUGAGGUUACAACAAACUCACCCACAACUACAACUCUGCUUACAACUACAGCUCCUCCUACAGAAACAACAACAACACAACUUACAUCUACGGCUGAACCAAAAACCACAACUGCUGCAACAUCUACAACUGAACCAAAAACCACAACUGCUUCAACACCUACAACUGAACAAUCAACUACAUCUGAACAAAGCACCCCAAAGCAGACAACAACAUCAUCCCUACCUACAACAAGUACAGCUCAAUCUACAACCCUGGUUACAACAAACUCACCUACAACUACAUCUCGGAUUACAAUUUCAGCCCCUCCUACAGAAACAACAACAAAACUUACAUCUACAGCUGAACCAACAACCAUAACUGUUUCAACAUCUACAACUGAACUAUCAACUACAUCAGAACAAAGCACCACAACACAGACAGGAACAAAAUCCCUACCUACAACAAGUACAGCUCAAUCUACAACUGAGGUUACAACAAUCUCACCUACAACUGCAACUCUGCUUACAACUACAGCCCCUCCUACAGAAACAACAACAACACAACUUACAUCUACGGUUGAACCAACAACCACAACUGCUUCAUCAUCUACAGCUGAACCAACAACCACAAUUGCUUCAUCAUCUACAGCUGAACCAACAACCACAACUGUUUUAACAUCUACAACAGAACAAUCAACUACAUCAGAACAAAGCACCACAACACAGACAGGAACAAAAUCCCUACCUACAACAAGUACAGCUCAAUCUACAACUGAGGUUACAACAAACUCACCUACAACUACAACUCUUCUUACAACUAAAACCCCUCCUACAGAAACAACAAGACUUACAUCUACUGCUGAACCAACAACCACAACUGCUUCAUCGUCUACAACUGAACUAACAACCAUAACUGCUUCAACACCUUCAACUGAACAAUCAACUACAUCUGAACAAAGCACCCCAAUGCAGACAACAACAUCAUCCCUACCUACAACAAGUACAGCUCAAUCUACAACCCUGGUUACAACAAACUCACCUACAACUACAUCUCGGGUUACAAUUACAGCCCCUCCUACAGAAACAACAAAACUUACAUCUACAGCUGAACCAACAACCACAACUGUUUUAACAUCUAUGACAGAACAAUCAACUACAUCUGAACACAGCACCACAAUGCAGAUGGCAACAACAUCCCUACCUACAACAAGUACAGCUCAAUCUACAACUGAGGUUACAACAAACUCACCUACAACUACAACUCUUCUUACAACUACAACCCCUACUACAGAAACAACAAGACUUACAUCUACUGCUGAACCAACAACCACAACUGCUUCAUCAUCUACAACUGAAUUAACAACCAUAACUGCUUCAACACCUUCAACUGAACAAUCAACUACAUCUGAACAAAGCACCCCAAUGCAGACAACAACAUCAUUCCUACCUACAACAAGUACAGCUCAAUCUACAACCCUGGUUACAACAAACUCACCUACAACUACAUCUCGGGUUACAAUUACAGCCCCUCCUACAGAAACAACAACAAAACUUACAUCUACAGCUGAACCAACAACCACAACUGUUUUAACAUCUAUGACAGAACAAUCAACUACAUCUGAACACAGCACCACAACGCAGACGGCAACAACUUCCCUACCUACAACAAGUACAGCUCAAUCUACAACCCUGGUUACAACAAACUCACCUACAACUACAUCUCGGGUUACAAUUACAGCCCCUCCUACAGAAACAACAACAAAACUUACAUCUACAGCUGAACCAACAACCACAGCUGUUUUAACAUCUACAACUGAACCAACAACCACAACUGCUUCAUCAUCUACAGCUGAACCAACAAGCACAACUGUUUUAACAUCUACGACAGAACAAUCAACUACAUCUGAACAAAGCACCACAACGCAGACGGCAACAACAUCCCUACCUACAACAAGUACAGCUCAAUCUACAACUGAGGUUACAACAAACUCACCUACAACUACAACCCCUCCUACAGAAACAACAAGACUUACAUCUACUGCUGAACCAACAACCACAACUGCUUCAUCAUCUACAACUGAACUAACAACCAUAACUGCUUCAACACCUACAACUGAACAAUCAACUACAUCUGAACAAAGCAGCCCAAUGCAGACAACAACAUCAUCCUUACCUAUAACAAGUACAGCUCAAUCUACAACCCUGGUUACAACAAACUCACCUAUAACUACAUCACAGGUUACAAUUACAGCCCCUCCUACAGAAACAACAACAAAACUUACAUCUACAGCUGAACCAAAAACCACAACUGAUUCAUCAUCUACAGCUGAACCAACAACCACAACUGAUUCAUCAUCUACAGCUGAACCAACAACCACAACUAUUUUAACAUCUACAACAGAACAAUCAACUAAAUCAGGACAAAGCACCACAACACAGACGGCAACAACAUCCCUACCUACAACAAGUACAGCUCAAUCUACAACUGAGGUUACAACAAACUCACCUACAACUGCAACUCUGCUUACAACUCCAGGCCCUCCAACAGAAACAACAACAACACAACUUACAUCUACAACUGAACUAACAACCACAACUGCUUCAACAUCUACAACUGAACAAUCAACUACAUCUGAACAAAGCACCCCAAUGCAGACAACAACAUCAUCCUUACCUACAACAAGUACAGCUCAAUCUACAACCCUGGUUACAACAAACUCACCUAUAACUACAUCACAGGUUACAAUUACAGCCCCUCCUACAGAAACAACAACAAAACUUACAUCUACAGCUGAACCAACAACCACAACUGAUUCAUCAUCUACAGCUGAACCAACAACCACAACUGAUUCAUCAUCUACAACAGAACAAUCAACUACAUCUGAACACAGCACCACAACGCAGACAGCAACAACAUCCCUAUCUACAACAAGUACAGCUCAAUCUACAACUGAGGUUACAACAAACUCACCUACAACUGCAACUCUGCUUACAACUCCAGGCCCUCCUACAGAAACAACAACAACACAACUUACAUCUACGGCUGAACCAAUAAUCACAACUGUUUUAACAUCUACAACAGAACAAUCAACUACAUCAGAACAAAGCACCACAACACAGAUGGCAACAAUAUCCCUACUUACAACAAGUACAGCUCAAUCUACAAGUGAGGUUACAACAAACUCACCUACAACUGCAACUCUGCUUACAACUCCAGGCCCUCCUACAGAAACAACAACAACACAACUUACAUCUACAACUGAACUAACAACCACAACUGCUUCAUCAUCUACACCUGAACCAACAACCACAACUGUUUUAACAUCUACGACAGAACAAUCAACUACAUCUGAACACAGCACCACAACGCAGACGGCAACAACAUCCCUAUCUACAACAAGUACAGCCCCAUCUACAACUGAGGUUACAACAAACUCACCUACAACUGCAACUUUGCUUACAACUCCAGGCCCUCCUACAGAAACAACAACAACACAACUUACAUCUACGGCUGAACCAAUAAUCACAACUGUUUUAACAUCUACAACAGAACAAUCAACUACAUCAGAACAAAGCACCACAACACAGAUGGCAACAAUAUCCCUACUUACAACAAGUACAGCUGAAUCUACAACUGAGGUUACAACAAACUCACCUACAACUGCAACUCUGCUUACAACUCCAGGCCCUCCUACAGAAACAACAACAACACAACUUACAUCUACAACUGAACUAACAACCACAACUGCUUCAACAUCUACAACUGAACAAUCAGCUACAUCUGAACAAAGCACCCCAAUGCAGACAACAACAUCAUCCCUACCUACAACAAGUACAGCUCAAUCUACAACCCUGGUUACAAAAAACUCGCCUACAACUACAUCGCAGGUUACAACUUCAGCCCCUCCUACAGAAACAACAACACAACUUACAUCUUCUGCUGAACCAACAACCACAACUGUUUUAUCAUCUACAAAUGAACCAACAACCACAACUGAUUCAUCAUAUACAACUGUACUAACAACCACAACUGCUUCAACAUCUACAACUGAACAAUCAACUACAUCUGAACACAGCACCACAACGCAGGCGGCAACAACAUCCCUAUCUACAACAAGUACAGCUCAAUCUACAACUGAGAUUACAACAAACUCACCUACAACUGCAACUCUUCUUUCAACUCCAGGCCCUCCAACAGAGACAACGCAACUUACAUCUACUUCUGAACCAACAACCACAACUGCUUCAACAUCUAAAACUGAACAGUCAACUACAUCUGAACAAAGCACAACAACAGAGACAGCAACAACAUCACCACCACCUACCACAAGUUCAGCACAAUCGACAACUGAGGUUACAACAAACUCACCUACAACUGCAACUCUUCUUACAACUCCAGGCCCUCCAGCAGAGACAAUGCAACUUACAUCUACUGCUGAACCAAAAACCACAACUGCUUCAACAUCUAAAACUGAACAGUCAACUACAUCUGAACAAAGCACCCCAAUGCAGACAACAACAUCAUCCCUACCUACAACAAGUACAGCUCAAUCUACAACCCUGGUUACAACAAACUCACCUACAACUACACCUCGGGUUACAACUAUAGCCCCUCCUACAGAAACAACACAACUUACAUCUACAGCUGAACCAACAACCACAACUGCUUCAUCAUCUACAAAUGAACUAAUAACCACAACUGCUUCAUCAUCUACAACUGAACAAUCAACUACAUCUGAAAAAAGCACCACAAUGCAGACAGUAAAAACAUCCCUACCUACAAGUACAGCUCAAUCUACAACUGAGGUAACAACAAACUCACCUACAACUGCAUCUCUGCUUACAACUACAGCCCCUCCUAUAGAAACAACAACAACACAAUUUACAUCUGCGGUUGAACCAACAACCACAACUGUUUUAACAUCUACAACUCAACCAACAACCACAACUCCGUCAACGUCUACAACUGAACAAUCAACUACAUCUGAACAAAGCACCACAAUGCAGACAGCAACAACUACUCUACCUACAACAAAUACAGCUCAAUCUACAACCCUGGUUACAACAAACUCAGCUAUACCUACAUCUCAGGUUACAACUACAGCCCCUUCAACAGAAACAACAGAAACACAACUUACAUCUACGGCUGAACCAACAACCACAACUUUUUUAACAUCUACAACUGAACCAAUAACCACAACUGUUUUAAUAUCUACAACAGAACAAUCAACUACAUCAGAACAAAGCACCACAACACAGAUAGGAACAAAAUCCCAACCUACAACAAGUAUAGCUCAAUCUACAACUGAGGUUUCAACAAACUCACCAAGAACUACAUUUCAAGUUACAACUACAGGCCCUCCUAAAGAAACAACAACAACAAAACUUACAUCUAUUGCUGAACCAACAACCACAAUUGCUGCAACAUCUACAACUGAACAAUCAACAACAUCUGAACACAGCACCACAAUGCAGACAGCAACAACAUCCAUACCUACAACAAGUACAGCUCAAUCUACAACUGAGGUUUCAACAAACUCACCUAGAACUGCAACUCUACUUACAACUACAGCCCCUCCUACAGAAACAACAAUAACACAACUUAUAUCUACAGCUGAACCAACAACCACAACUUCUUUAUCAUCUACAAUUAAACAAUCAACUACACCUGAACAAAGCACCGCAACACAGGCAUCAACACCAUCCUUACCUUCAACAAAUACAGCACAAUCUACAAACCUGGUUACAACAAACUCACCUACAACUACAUCUCGGGUUACGACUACAGCCCCUCCUACAGAAACAACAACAAGAAAACUUACAUCUACGGAUGGAUCAACAACCACAACUGCUUCAUCAUCUACAACUGAAGAAUCAACUACAUCUGAACAAAGUGCCCCAACACAGACAUCAACAUCUUCCUUACCUACAUCUCGGUUUACAACUACAGCCCCUCCUACAGAAACUACAACAGGAAAACUUACAUCUACAGCUGAACCAAAAACCACAACUUCUUCUUCAUCUACAACUGAACAAUCAACUACAUCUGAACAAAGCACCCUAACACAGACAUCAACAUCACCCUUACCUUCAACAAAUACAGCUCAGACUACAACCCUGGUUACAACAAACUCACCUACAACUACAUCUCGGGUUACGACUACACCCCCUCCUACAGAAACAACAUCAAGAAAACUUACAUCUACGGCUGAACCAACAACCACAGCUACUUCAACAUCAACAACAGAACAAUCAACUACAUCUCAACACA